CACAAUUUCAGUAUUUGUUAUUUGAGGAGGCAGAGGCCAUAUUUGCUCCCAGGUGAUGAAUAAUUAAUAAGAAAUCACACAGGUGUUCUCAGAACAGAGGAUCCUUUCUGUUCAGCUGGAACUUCUUUUCUUGUGUGCAAGGAAGAUUAAUCAGGUAUAGCUCAGGAAUGCCUUUAGCAUCCUACACAAUGAGGGCUGUGAAGUGCUUUAGUCUUCAAAUUGCUAUGGAUUCAUUGCCUUUCUUUGAAAGGUGAAAAUUAUUAAUCUGGAUCACAAGAAGGCUCGGAUUUUUGGAACUGGGAUAAUCUCAUGCAACUGAAGAUGUACAUGAGGUAGGUGUCAUUUGAGAAAUAGCUUAUUUGAAAUAGUCUUUUAUGCUGCCUU
rnacentral:lncRNA from 1 species